rnacentral:rRNA from 1 species
CUUAGUAACCGGAGGAAGAGAAAGAAAAUUCGAUUCCCUUAGUAGCGGCGAGCGAAACGGGAAGAGCCCAAACCAACAAGCUUGCUUGUUGGGGUUGUAGGACACUCUAUACGGAGUUACAAAGGACGACAUUAGACGAAUCAUCUGGAAAGAUGAAUCAAAGAAGGUAAUAAUCCUGUAGUCGAAAAUGUUGUCUCUCUUGAGUGGAUCCUGAGUACGACGGAGCACGUGAAAUUCCGUCGGAAUCUGGGAGGACCAUCUCCUAAGGCUAAAUACUCUCUAGUGACCGAUAGUGAACCAGUACCGUGAGGGAAAGGUGAAAAGCACCCCGGAAGGGGAGUGAAAUAGAACCUGAAACCGUGUGCUUACAAGUAGUCAGAGCCCGUUAAUGGGUGAUGGCGUGCCUUUUGUAGAAUGAACCGGCGAGUUACGAUUUGAUGCAAGGUUAAGCAGUAAAUGUGGAGCCGUAGCGAAAGCGAGUCUGAAUAGGGCGUUUAGUAUUUGGUCGUAGACCCGAAACCAGGUGAUCUACCCUUGGUCAGGUUGAAGUUCAGGUAACACUGAAUGGAGGACCGAACCGACUUACGUUGAAAAGUGAGCGGAUGAACUGAGGGUAGCGGAGAAAUUCCAAUCGAACCUGGAGAUAGCUGGUUCUCUCCGAAAUAGCUUUAGGGCUAGCCUCAAGUGAUGAUUAUUGGAGGUAGAGCACUGUUUGGACGAGGGGCCCCUCUCGGGUUACCGAAUUCAGACAAACUCCGAAUGCCAAUUAAUUUAACUUGGGAGUCAGAACAUGGGUGAUAAGGUCCGUGUUCGAAAGGGAAACAGCCCAGACCACCAGCUAAGGUCCCAAAAUAUAUGUUAAGUGGAAAAGGAUGUGGCGUUGCCCAGACAACUAGGAUGUUGGCUUAGAAGCAGCCAUCAUUUAAAGAGUGCGUAAUAGCUCACUAGUCGAGUGACACUGCGCCGAAAAUGUACCGGGGCUAAACAUAUUACCGAAGCUGUGGAUUGUCCUUUGGACAAUGGUAGGAGAGCGUUCUAAGGGCGUUGAAGCAUGAUCGUAAGGACAUGUGGAGCGCUUAGAAGUGAGAAUGCCGGUGUGAGUAGCGAAAGACGGGUGAGAAUCCCGUCCACCGAUUGACUAAGGUUUCCAGAGGAAGGCUCGUCCGCUCUGGGUUAGUCGGGUCCUAAGCUGAGGCCGACAGGCGUAGGCGAUGGAUAACAGGUUGAUAUUCCUGUACCACCUAUAAUCGUUUUAAUCGAUGGGGGGACGCAGUAGGAUAGGCGAAGCGUGCGAUUGGAUUGCACGUCUAAGCAGUAAGGCUGAGUAUUAGGCAAAUCCGGUACUCGUUAAGGCUGAGCUGUGAUGGGGAGAAGACAUUGUGUCUUCGAGUCGUUGAUUUCACACUGCCGAGAAAAGCCUCUAGAUAGAAAAUAGGUGCCCGUACCGCAAACCGACACAGGUAGUCAAGAUGAGAAUUCUAAGGUGAGCGAGCGAACUCUCGUUAAGGAACUCGGCAAAAUGACCCCGUAACUUCGGGAGAAGGGGUGCUCUUUAGGGUUAACGCCCAGAAGAGCCGCAGUGAAUAGGCCCAAGCGACUGUUUAUCAAAAACACAGGUCUCUGCUAAACCGUAAGGUGAUGUAUAGGGGCUGACGCCUGCCCGGUGCUGGAAGGUUAAGAGGAGUGGUUAGCUUCUGCGAAGCUACGAAUCGAAGCCCCAGUAAACGGCGGCCGUAACUAUAACGGUCCUAAGGUAGCGAAAUUCCUUGUCGGGUAAGUUCCGACCCGCACGAAAGGCGUAACGAUUUGGGCACUGUCUCAACGAGAGACUCGGUGAAAUCAUAGUACCUGUGAAGAUGCAGGUUACCCGCGACAGGACGGAAAGACCCCGUGGAGCUUUACUGUAGCCUGAUAUUGAAAUUCGGCACAGCUUGUACAGGAUAGGUAGGAGCCUUUGAAACGUGAGCGCUAGCUUACGUGGAGGCGCUGGUGGG